rnacentral:rRNA from 1 species
UACGUAGGGUGCAAGCGUUGUCCGGAAUUAUUGGGCGUAAAGAGCUCGUAGGCGGUCUGUCGCGUCGGAUGUGAAAAUCCAGGGCUCAACCCUGGACCUGCAUUCGAUACGGGCAGACUAGAGUUCGGUAGGGGAGACUGGAAUUCCUGGUGUAGCGGUGAAAUGCGCAGAUAUCAGGAGGAACACCGGUGGCGAAGGCGGCCUUCUGGACAAUGACUGACGCUGAGACGCGAAAGCGUGGGGAGCAAACAGG